rnacentral:rRNA from 1 species
AAAGGAAUUGACGGGGGCCCGCACAAGCGGUGGAGCAUGUGGUUUAAUUCGAUGCAACGCGAAGAACCUUACCAGGCCUUGACAUCCUACGAAUCCUUAGGAAACUAGGGAGUGCCUUCGGGAGCGUAGAGACAGGUGGUGCAUGGUUGUCGUCAGCUCGUGUCGUGAGAUGUUGGGUUAAGUCCCGCAACGAGCGCAACCCUUGCUAUUAGUUGCUAACAGGAGAGCUGAGCACUCUAAUGGGACUGCCCGUGACAAGCGGGAGGAAGGUGGGGAUGACGUCAAAUCAUCAUGCCCUUUAUGGUCUGGGCUACACACGUGCUACAAUGGGCGGUACAGAGAGCAGCGAAGCUGUGAAGUGGAGCGAAUCUCAAAAAGCCGUUCUCAGUUCGGAUUGCAGUCUGCAACUCGACUGCAUGAAGUCGGAAUCGCUAGUAAUCGCGAAUCAGCACGUCGCGGUGAAUCCGUUCCCGGGCCUUGCACACACCGCCCGU